UCGAAAUGAUGAAAUAGAGAUAAUUGGAUGUCUCUUUGAAUGGAGUGUGCGUGAUAACUGGAACUGGGGGUGGGGUGUGGGGAAUGUGUGUGUGUGUGCAUGUAUAGAAAAGGCUUUAAACGGGGGCACUGAUAAUACGGUGCUGAUUCCGGAGUGCAUCUGAGGCGUGUUGUUAAAUUCCGAGGUGCCACUUCACAACAUUGCCGAUGAUUAAAGCCCAAAACAAGCCCACCAAGACAAGCCUAUUCAUCCUAAAUCUCUAACAGGUUCAUUAAUGACAGUGAUCCUGUGAUCUGAUCUGA
rnacentral:snoRNA from 1 species